CACAACUUCAGCAACCAUCAUAGAUGCCGAACUGUUUUCCAGGUCUGGCAAAUCGGUCGUGGGCAGGAGGUCAUGCUGGUCACAGGCUUGGGUUGUGGAGUCAAGACAGACCUGAAUUCAAAUCCCACCUCUGCUAUGUACUAGCUGUGUGAUCUGGACAAGCGACUUAUCCUCUCUGGGCCUCUGUUCCUUCAGCCAGGCAGCCAGGUGGCACAGCACAGGGAGACAGUCUCUCACAUUAUCAUACCAGAGGGUGACAAUUUUAACAGGCUACGGAGUGAACACUAACCCUGGAGCCCAGAAAGGAGCAGCACUGGCAAUACUACCUCCCUGGAUUAUUCUUGCCAGCAGUCACUAUGGCAAGAACAAGCACUCAGCAAUCAACCCAAUAAUCCCCCCAUUUCACAGAAGAGGACACCGAGGUUCAGAGAGCAUCCAACAGGCCAAAGCCACUCCCACAGCCGAGUUCAGCUUCGAGGGCUGGAGAAAUGGACUCCGCUUCUUGAUUGAAAGGACAGCAAUGCCAUCACAACAGGGCAUGUGAGCUUCAAUGAAGGCAGAGACCUUGUCUCCUAUCUUCCUUGAUACAGUACAGCCCCUGCCCUCCGCACAGUGACUGACACACACCAACAGAAUGUGGGCAGAAGUGAUGUGCUAGUUCUGAGCCA
ensembl:lncRNA